UACGUAGGGGGCAAGCGUUGUCCGGAAUCAUUGGGCGUAAAGCGCGUGUAGGCGGUCCGGUAAGUCCGCUGUGAAAGUCGGGGGCUCAACCCUCGAAUGCCGGUGGAUACUGUCGGGCUAGAGUGCGGAAGAGGCGAGUGGAAUUCCCGGUGUAGCGGUGAAAUGCGCAGAUAUCGGGAGGAACACCAAUGGCGAAGGCAGCUCGCUGGGACGGUACUGACGCUGAGGAACGAAAGCGUGGGGAGCGAACAGG
rnacentral:rRNA from 1 species